GCCUGAGGAGGAUGUGGAGAAGAAAGGAAAUUCACCGAGAGGAAGAGGAGGAAAACAAAAAGAAGAAAUGAAAGAGAAAGGAAAGGAGGAAGAUGAAGAAAACGAGGGGAGGAAAAAAGAAAGAACAGAGGAAAAAAAAAACCAAAAACCAAAAAACAAAGACAACUUUUUGAGACUGCAAUUAAAACCGAGCCACCUCCGCUCCUCCUUUGCUGCGGCGCUGGGGAUGCCAUUGACUCCAGGUACGUGCAAAGUCCCACCCCGUUGCCACCUCUCCUAAAUGACAAUUUACACACGAUCUGUGCAAUCCUAAGGAAGCAUCUGCAGCAUCUUCCUGAGGAGGUUUGCUUUCUCAGCUCCGUAACGACGCUGCACCUCAGUCAUUAGCGAUAAGCGGCUGUUGGCACCAGGACGGCUGCACCCACCAACCUCCUGCAUGUGUGCACUUAAUUCAUGAAAAAUCAAUAUUGGAAAGGAUGGUAAGAAUGAAAAUCUUCCAUUUCCAGCUUUCUGGAAUCGCUUCUGUACUCGGAAAUGGAAAGCAACUGGAGGUGCACUCAGCAGCAGAGCAUGGCUGGGAGAUCCUCAGCUAGAGGACAGAGGGUAAACACAGAAACCCACACUGCAGUUUUAUUUUUAUUCCUCCCUCAUCCUCAUUUUGAGCCCAUUGUGGGUGGCUGCUGGUUUGGUGGGGAUCUCAACGCUCCAUGAGGUUGCGUUGGUGCUUCCUGAUGUCUCCCCAUCUAUCUGUCGCCAAGAGGGCAAGAAACCUGAAGGUCUUCCACACCUGAAUAUGUGGAAUGAGCUGAACCCCAAAUCUCUCUUUUUUUCCCAUCUGGUUGGAGCAUGAACUCCAUCACCCCAUGCCCAUUUUGGGGCUGAGGCCGCCAUCCUCAUGCAGACAUUGAUCCCUUGGAGGUGACCCAGCACCUCCAGCCCCGCGCGUGCAGGAAUGGGCACUCAUUCCCUAACACCCACAAAAAUGCAUUAAGGCUCUUAGCUGCUCAGCUGAGCUGGAGCCGCUCAGCUGAUUUCUCCCUGCUCAGACUGGGGGGGGAGGAGGGAGAUGGAUUUUUGUGCCUUUUUCUCGCUUUUUAUGCUGAGAUGCAGUCAUGGAGUGGACGUGGGCUGGGGGAUGGAGCUUUGGCUUCACUGCUCUGUGUUGCUGAGCCUCCAUCCUUGGCUUAUUGCUUCUUUUCCACUGCUCGCUCCUCUUGGUUUCUGUGCUGUUAUCAAUGAUUUAUGGGACUGAAGGGCAAGAGAAAAAGAUCUUUCUUUGGCCCCAGUGUCUUCCUCUCUUAAAAGUGCCAAGUAAAUUUGGCACUGGGUGCUUAAAUCUAUGAGUAGCCCAUGAAUUGCCAUGGGUGAAGCAAGGUUUAUGUAGAGAGGAAAUACACAAGGCAAACCACUACAUAAAAAACAGAUCUGUGCUGGCAACCCAGGACAGAACAGAGCAGUGGGGUGGGGAAAGUAGCAUGUGGUCCUACUGAGCUGCAGGGUUGCCUUGGAUGGCUAUACCACAGCACUCAGCAUCCCCAGAUCUGCACAGACUUUGGGUCUUGGGGCUGGGCUUGAGGUUUUUCAGCAGCUCUGGUGACAGAGGGAAGCCUGGGGACCACGGCUCCUCACGAGGCAGGUGGAAAAAAGGGGUUCUUUUGAAUGGAAUUUAUUUGGCUCUGCCUUGUAACUCCUGGGCUGGAUGUCCAUGGAGAUGAAGGAUGUUGGGUGAAUUCUGUGGCCAUCAUCAUCUGUGGUGCAGCUGGGGGGCACUGGGGCUGACAUUUAUCCUUCUCUCAUUCCCUUUUCUCUUUCUCUCCACUAGCGCAGAGAGUAGCUUCGCCUGCUGUGAUGCUCCAUGCUUUUCCUGGCCAGCCAAGAGUAAUGCUUGAGUCCUGGGGGAAGUUCAUUCAGAAUUGCCUGGAGUGGAGGCUGGAAAGCAAAACCACAACCACAGCAGAGCCUGGAUAUGGGAAGCUGCUAGCAGGACCCAUCUUGGGGACGGUCGCUGUGUGUGCCUUCCUCCAUCCUCCUCCUCCUCCCAGCAGCUGGUGACGUGGAGCAGCACAGAGCAAGCCUGGCAUCGGGCUGUAAGGACAGCAGGAGCACUUUGGGGAUGGGACACAGCACCGUGCCACACUGGUGGAGAACAAGAAGCUGGAAGAGGGAAAAAAUCACCAGCAGCAGAAGAAAAGAAAGGAAACGAAAGUCUCCAAACUCAGGAAAUCCGUGUUAAUUGCUUACAAAUGUCUCCAUCUCAAAAAUUAUCCAACUGAUGUUGUCGUGCUUUUUUUUUUUUGACAGCCUGUCUGUUAUAUAUAUUUUUUAAAUAUUCAUGCACCGAAAUCUAAUUACUAGGCAAAUUUAAUGAUAAUGAAAUGAAGGCACUUUAGCAGAAAGCACGGGGCCUUGUUAAUAUUUUCUCAAUCUCUGUCUUGUUCGUGUUUUUAAAGCAUUUUUUUUUGUUGUUUUCACCACCGCCUCUCUUGCAGUAAAAAAGAAUUGCCAAAAAUAAAACUCGGAUUGCUGGAAA